rnacentral:rRNA from 1 species
CCUACGGGAGGCAGCAGUGGGGAAUUUUGCGCAAUGCUCGUAAGAGUGACGCAGCGACGCCGCGUGAAGGAAGAAGGCUUUCGGGUUGUAAACUUCUUUUGUCAGGGACGAAGCAAGUGACGGUACCUGACGAAUAAGCCACGGCUAACUACGUGCCAGCAGCCGCGGUAAUACGUAGGUGGCAAGCGUUAUCCGGAUUUAUUGGGUGUAAAGGGCGUGUAGGCGGGAAUGCAAGUCAGAUGUGAAAACUAUGGGCUCAACCCAUAGCCUGCAUUUGAAACUGUAUUUCUUGAGUGCUGGAGAGGCAAUCGGAAUUCCGUGUGUAGCGGUGAAAUGCGUAGAUAUACGGAGGAACACCAGUGGCGAAGGCGGAUUGCUGGACAGUAACUGACGCUGAGGCGCGAAAGCGUGGGGAGCAAACAGGAUUAGAUACCCCAGUAGUC